rnacentral:other from 1 species
ACCUCCCUAUAAUGCGCCCGUACUUAAUGAUUAGGAAUUCCUUUUUGUAAGAAUUUAUUCUUAUUAAGUAUUAUGUUGUGUUUGCAUAUUGUUCGGGAAACCGAACUCAAGUAACUUAAUUUUAGUUACUUAUUUUAACUUCCUGUAUAUUUUAAACCUAAAUUUGGGUUCGUAAUGCACCGCUCUUUGAGCGGUGUUUUUUUCU